UACGUAGGGUGCGAGCGUUAAUCGGAAUUACUGGGCGUAAAGCGUGCGCAGGCGGUUCUCCAAGUCCGUUGUGAAAGCCCCGGGCUCAACCUGGGAAUGGCAGUGGAAACUAGGGGACUUGAAUCUGGCAGAGGGGGGUGGAAUUCCCGGUGGUAGCGGUGGAAAUGCGCAGGAUAUCGGGAGGAACACCGGUGGCGAAGGCGGUUCUCUGGGCCGUUACCCUGACGCUGAGGAGCGAAAGCGUGGGGAGCGAACAGG
rnacentral:rRNA from 1 species